rnacentral:rRNA from 1 species
UGCCAGCAGCCGCGGUAAUACGGAGGGUGCAAGCGUUGUUCGGAAUUAUUGGGCGUAAAGCGCGUGUAGGCGGUUCGUUAAGUCUGGCGUGAAAGCCCGGGGCUCAACCCCGGAAGUGCGUUGGAUACUGGCAGUCUUGAGUAUGGGAGAGGAAAGUGGAAUUCCGAGUGUAGGAGUGAAAUCCGUAGAUAUUCGGAGGAACACCAGUGGCGAAGGCGGCUUUCUGGACAGAUACUGACGCUGGGGCGCGAAGGCGUGGGUAGCGAACGGGAUUAGAUA